CUCUAUCUUUUACAGAUUUCAGAGAUACGUGAAAUCUAUCAGUUGUCCCUAGGGGAAUUUUCUAAUUUUCAAGAAGUUUUUUCUUCUCCAGUCACCCUGCUUAUUUGUAUGGAAUAUUAAGCAAGUGCCUCUCAGGGAUUAUUACUUGGAAGCAUUGGCUUGAUCAAAACUGUCUAGACCACAAUGAUGUACUGUGUCGGUCUUUGCAGAAUUUGUCUGGUUAAUGCAUUGCUUUUUCUGCUUUGAUUUUGUUGUUGCAGAUUUAACCCAAUACAUCUUUAAUUGGGUAGGUUGCUAAUGAAUGCUGAAAAGUAAUGCAGUGUUGUCACAGAAUUUCCCAGUUGUUUAUUUUUCUCUCUAUAUUGUCAAGUCCAGAGAUGUGGCAUUAGUCAUAUCCUUUGACAAAAGACAUCUUGGACACAGAGCAGCAGCAAAAUGCUAUCCACAAUGGGACUUUUUUCUGCUCUUUCUUCUACCUUAUGAUUCUGGUGAUGUACUGCAUAAAGGCAAGAGUUACUGCCCUAUAGAUUAAUCAGGCUGAGAAAUAAUUGGGACUAGUACAAAACUCAGGACAGGACUUCUCUAAACGUUCUUACCUUACUGAAUGCUGUCCUGGUUUGUGUAAUUCAAGCUGGUCUUGAGUUCAGAAGAGCUGACUAGUUCAUAAAUGCAGCUCUGAAUGCAUUAGUCUGUGAUCUCAAAUUAGACCACUGUGUUUGAGCAGAAUGUGUACUUGAUACCAGAGAAGUUGUAUAAGUGGAUAAGUAUGAAGAUGUUCGGUAUCACAUGGAUUAAUCUUCUUUAAAAUGAUGUGUCUGUGAUGCAGAAAUUACAUUCUUUGUGUCACUCUGUGUGGUAUUGCUAAGAGCACUUUCACUGUCAAUAAAAGCAUGAGUCCUACUCUAUUUCAGAUAGAAAGACAUUUCAUUUCUCUGCUUGGCAUUCUUCUAUCUUGCAAGAACCUAACAACAUCAUUCUUUUUAUUUAGGUGACUAUUACUUUUACUAACUCCUUUGUGCUUGGAGUCCCUUUCUGUUCUUUAAGUGGAGACAGGUGCAGCAGAAAAGAGCAUAUGGACCAACUGAGGAACUCUAGACUGCAUUAUUUGUUGCAGCAAUGAAGAACAGUGACUGAUAGGUUAAAUGAGAUUAUGAUGAAGAUGAGGGAAAAUGUGACAUUCAUGAGUAACUAAACAAUCCUGUGAAUCACAGUUGUGUGAGAAGAGGUUGGAUGGCUUCCUCACCUUGAAAGGUAAGGUCAACACCAUUUCUGUUGAGAGUAUUUAAAAAUACUUACGAUCUUCUAGGAUCUGAAUUCUCCCUGUAUGAGUGAAUGACUUUAUUUUCUUUAGCUUCUGUGCGUCUGUGUGAGUUAUUUAUUCACUUCAUUUUACUCUCUUUGUGAUUGUACAUUAUCUGUUGUUAUAUUAUCUGUUGUUACAGCUUAAUAUUUAUGUAUUUGUUCAAUUUUCUAAAUAGCAUGACAAAUACUUGAUACAAGUGUAUUCAUAAAUAGUUGUCUUCAGUCUAUUCUGUUUACUUGCCUGUGUGAUUAUCUUCUUCUUCAAGUAAUACUGCCUCUGCUAGCUAAUUUCAUGUUUAAGAUUACGUAAAUGAAAAAAAAAAGGAAGAAUUUAAAAUAGCUUUCAGGAGUUUCCUUAACUGAUCAUUUUUCUGUGAAUCCUCCCAAAACACACAAGUAUUUAUAUCAGCAGGAAGUUUGACCACAUUUGGGAAAAAGGAAAGUGAAUCAAUAAUAUGUCAUCAGAGUUCAUUGUCUCUUUCAUAGGUGAUCAUUAUAUAACCAUGAAGCUAUCUGAGCAAUGUUAUCAACAUAGGAAAUUAUUAACUGUUCUUAUGUUGGCUUUAAUCAGCUUGAUUGCAAUUGAUGUGGUAUGACUGUAUGAAGGGAAGCAGUUCGGAAUAUAUUGGGAAUAAACCAGUGAAGCUCUAUUGGAAGGCUCGGAGUGAAUCUGUGAUCAAGUUAGCUGGACUGGGAACGGAUUGUAAAAGAGAAGGCAGAAGCUAGUUCCAUAAGUGCAGUUCAGAAAAAAACAAACCGUGCUUUCAUGCUGUUAUUAACACAGUUAAUUGUAAAGAUCAUAAUUGUACAGCAGUUUAUUUUCUUUCUGUAUACUCUGAUCAUAUGUGAAAUAAUACAGUUGAUGCAUAAUCAUUAAUAAAUUUAUUAAUAAAUUUAUAUUC
rnacentral:lncRNA from 7 species